rnacentral:lncRNA from 10 species
UGAGGACAACUUGGCCUGGCUGUAGCCACGAUGGUAUAGAGAACUGCUCAGGUACUGGGAGUAUCUUAAAGGUAGAGACAGCAAGAUUAGCCGGCUUGAGAUGGCCAACACAAGUGAAAUAACAAGGCAAUGGAUAGAUGAAUCUGAAUCCAAAGGCCAGGAGAGAGAUCUACACUAGACACAUGAAUUUGGGAAGUACCAGUGCCUACAUGGUAUCUAAUUCCAUGAGACUUAAUGAGAACAUCUUGGGACUGAGUGUAGAGAGCAAGAGAAGAGGUCCAAGGAUUGGGCCCUGGGAUCCCAACAUGAAAAGAUCAGGGAGAUGGCGGGAAACCAGUAAGGAAGACUAAGAAAGCCAGGGGAGUCUUACAGCAGGAAGUGGCACACUGGAAUACAACACUUUUCAGGAUCCUUUGUAGUUAUGUUAGGGCUCUGUGAC